rnacentral:lncRNA from 10 species
AUGGCCCUGAGUCCUUAAAUUAUAGGCUCUCCUGCAGUUUCAAAAAGCUAAUUCACACUACUGUGUGCAUUAGAAAGGUGGUAUAUAUGAUAUUCCACUAAGGGAAACCCUAGGAACAUUAAACUCCUACUAGUAACUGGUCACGAGUCAGGGCUAGAACUGACACUAGUCAUUUUUCUUCACUGACAAGUUUUCAUUAUGUGGCUUUCCCAGAACAAUUUAGAAAUUGAUCUGCAACUGAUGGAAGCUGGGAUGAAUUGGGCGCAUAAGUGAACCCAAAGCAUCAGAGCAAAGUCAAAGCGAACAUCUGGCUCCAGCUUUGAGUACAAGAAAGGAAGGAAGAAAGAACAUGCUGGAAGCAGAGCAAAGAAGAGAGACUUGUGUUUCCAUGGAAUAAUCUUGGGAUCCAUGUGGAGUGCAAGAGAUUGGAACAGAAGGAGUUCUCAAAAAAUAAAAACUUCGGGCGGGUGCGGUGGCUCACGCCUGUAAUCCCAGGACUUUGGGAGGCCGAGGUGGGCGGAUCACGAGGU